rnacentral:lncRNA from 1 species
GGCCUUCUUUGGCCCGGGGCCCACUGCUCCCCGAACCCUGGCUGCCCACCCACCAUUUCUUCUUUGUGUCUCUCACUCGGGUUUUUCCACAGUUGGGAGAUGACAGUGUAAGGGAGAGGUGGAUGGGAUUUCCUCGUCUCUCUGGUUCUUGAUGUACUUCUGCAGAGCGUUUCAGAGUCAGAAUGUGGCUGACCCCUAUCACUAGUUUCUAACUGGUGGGUGAGGCUGGAAGCUGGAGUGGGCAACUGUAUUUGUUGAGAUAUCUUUCCCUACAGCUAUCUGGAAGAACAAGGGAAGUUCUGAUGCAGUUAGAGCAGGUGGCUCAGGAGGGCAGGGAAAAACACAGAAUUCUCCUGGCUGAGGUCUUCAGGAGGAGCUGAGCAGCUGAGUGACCUUGUGGCUGCUGGAAGAGGAUGCCUGAAGGGCUCAAGGGAAGGAGCAAGAGGGGCCAGGUGGAUUUAACAGUGAAGGGGUUGCCCGCAGGAGAUGACCCCAAGAGCCUGGGGAGUCACUAGAAACACAAUACAGGUAGCCUGUUAGGUUGGGACUUGCCUGAGGGAAGGGGCUGUGGUGUCUUCUUCCAGCCCCAGCUGACUUACAAGACCUGAUGUAAAUGUAGGUGUUAAAGGGAUAGUUUUUGAGUGAAU